UACGUAGGUGGCAGGCGUUGUCCGGAAUUAUUGGGCGUAAAGCGCGCGCAGGUGGUUCUUUAAGUCUGAUGUGAAAGCCCACGGCUCAACCGUGGAGGGUCAUUGGAAACUGGGGAACUUGAGUGCAGAAGAGGAAAGUGGAAUUCCAAGUGUAGCGGUGAAAUGCGUAGAGAUUUGGAGGAACACCAGUGGCGAAGGCGACUUUCUGGUCUGUAACUGACACUGAGGCGCGAAAGCGUGGGGAGCAAACAGG
rnacentral:rRNA from 1 species